UAAUACGUAGGUGGCAAGCGAUACUCGGAAUCACUAGGCGUAAAGCGCAGGUAGGAGGUUUGGUAAGUCUAUUGUGAAAGCUCCCGGCUUAACUGGGAGAGGUCAAUGGAAACUACCAGGCUAGAGUGCGGUAGAGGUAGCUGGAAUUCCCGGUGUAGCGGUGAAAUGCGUAGAUAUCGGGAGGAAUACCUAUGGCGAAAGCAGGCUACUGGACCGUCACUGACUCUGAUCUGCGAAAGCUAGGGGAGCAAACAGGAUUAGAUACCCUGGUAGUCCUAGCCCUAAACGAUGCUCAUUAGGUGUGGGAGGUAUCGACCCCUUCCGCGCCGAAGCUAACGCAUUAAAUGAGCCGCCUGGGGAGUACGGCCGCAAGGUUG
rnacentral:rRNA from 1 species